UUCAAACUGCAACGCCUUGUGUUUGGACUUGUGAGAGUGUUUCGAAGUGACAGGGCUCCCUCUCCUUUCGAGGCUACGCUGCAUGGACACCCGUCAUUGAUGUUAUAAUACUACAUGAUACUGUAUAUCUCUAUGAGUGGGGAAAUGUUAGCUAGGCUUGGAUACGGAAGAAUGAGAGUGUGUUUCUACAGAUGUUACAGAUGCAACGAGCUUCCAGGACACUCAGUGGCCAGUUGACAUCGGAGUCCUGGAUGUGGAGCCAGAGAUGUCAAAUCAGCCUGACACCUCAAUGUCACCUCCACCGAUGGAGGACUUUGUCUCCCACUGUGCACCACAGGCAACUGAGGUGUCUUGUCCUCCAGCUCCCAGACCUGCUCCCAUCCUGGUCAGGCAGUUUCAAAAGACCAAUGGAGAGACAUCAGAGAAACCAGGGGAGCGGGCUCAGCAGGGCUCCAGAGUGGUGGCCGUCCGGCUGCCCUUCACCGGCCCAGAGGAAGAAGAGGAGGAGGGCUCUGUCAGUCUGGGGCUCAGCACCGGAGGAGGAGGAGGAGGAGGAGACACAGACUCAUCAGGGAAUGACAUAUUCUAGUGCUGCUGACCUGCUUUAGUCAUUACUGAGACAUUACAGAAGAAUGCCCCCAAGACGCCUACUACUUCCAUCUCUGUUUCAUCACACUCAGUGGAUCGAUGGGGAGACCACUAAAGACUUCUUAUCAGAUCUGGACAGAGCUCAGCAGAGAGAGAUAACAUUCCAUUUCUUGUGAAGAUCUUCAGACAUUCGCUGUUUAUCUACCUCUGGAACCAAUAACCAUGUGUUUGGACUAAUUUGCCUGUCAGAUAAUCAAUGUAAUCUAUGUAUCAAUAAUCAAUUAUAGUUUUUUUUAGCAAUAAAGUUGAUACUUUUGAGUGUUUUAGUAACAACUGUUAUAUAAAGUGAUAUCUUAACUUCAUACUUACCCUAUGCAAAUUUAAAAAAUGUCAUUCAAAUACACAUUUUCAUUUAAAUACAGUCAACUCCAGGCAUAUCAGUUAUGUGGUUGUUUUCAUAGCUACAUUGUGAUAUUCAGACAAGUCAGCCAGUCAUUCAAAUGUUUUGUUGAGUUAUUCCCCGAGCCCAUGUAAACAGUGUGAUGUCAUGGCCAUGCUACUACAGUGCAUUGCACUAGACUAGGAGAUUGGCUUUUCACCUCAUUACACACCCAUUUGCUUUCCUGCUGCCCCAGAUGAAGAUAGUAUCUCCGUCCCAAAUGGCACCCUAUUCCCUGCACUAUGUUUGACCAGGGCCCGAAAGGUAGUGGACUGUGUAGGGAAUAGUGAAUUUGUGACUCAGCCAGUAUAUCUGAUGUUGCUGUGCUGUACGCAACACUAACAACGCCAGCCUAAUGAGCAUCCUGUUUCAAUUCACCAAGUGUGCCAAGAGGAGAAACUAAAUGAGUGUUCCUCUCCCUCCUAGCUAAACUAAGGAGAAGUCGUCUAGUUGGGUCCCAUUUCUUAUCCAAAGUUCACCAAAUGAAGGCGAUAUGUUGAAUCUGCUAUAAACUGCUGCUCACUCUCUAUGGAGUUAGCCUGGACUCCAAACAGAAUAUCGCUCCAUUUGACUUGUGUUUCACUUCACAGAUGGACUGAAUCAGUAAAGGGUUGUAGCUAAGUAGAGGAGCAGGAUUAAAUGUGGCUCCAUGUCAGGCCAUGCAGUAUAGUGAUAAGUCACGAUGAUAAAGAGAGGAAGGAAAUGAGAUUAAAGACAGGAGGGCAGAUGGUCUGGCAUGACACUGACCAGGAAACUGCACCUCUAUCUGCAACAACUCUCUGUCAUUCUCGCUCUCCCUCACCCAAUCUCCCUCCCUCUCUCUCUCGCUCUCCCUCACCCAAUCUCCCUCCCUCUCUCUCUCUCUCUCGCUCUCCCUCCCUCUCUCUCGCUCUCCCUCCCUCUCUCGCUCUCCCUCCCUCCCUCCCUCUCUCUCUCUCGCUCUCCCUCUCUCUCUCUCUCGCUCUCCCUCUCUCUCUCUCUGCCUUGUAUCUUCUUUGAAAUUGUAAAUAGUAUUUGAUGUAAAUUGGCGUAAGAUUGAUUACAGCUUUUCAAACGAGAAAUUCAUCCUACAUUGUUGGAGUUGUUUUCUGGAUGGGCAUGCUCUGUUGAGAAAUGCUUCCAUGACAGAAAAUCAAGGCCUGUGUCCCAAAUGGCACCCUAUUUCCUUCAUAAAGCCUUCUUUGCCCCUGUUAAAAGCAGUGUGCCAUUUGGGAUGCAGACAAGGUCCUCCAGUCCAUCUGGGGCCAUGGCACACGUUCCUGUCGAAUAGUAAGACUUACUACACUACAGUACGAUGACCUCAGAUACAUGUAGUGUGUCACUAGCUGGGAUUGCUGAGCCGUACCCUGUCCAGGGGAAAUAUCAAACUUCAGCUAAUCUCUGAGCUGGUCUUAAAUGUCUGAGCUACAGCUAAUCUCUGAGCUGGGGCAAAAACUCUUCACUGUUUAGUAAAGACCAGAGGUUGAGGGGUGCAGAGGAUUCUCUCUCCCCACCCCCACACCAGAGCCUCCAGCUUUCUCUCGGCCAGCCCAGCCCAGCUGUUUAUCAAAGCCAGAUGUGAGGGGCGGGAAGAGGAGGGAAAUCGAGCGUGACAUUGACCACUCUCCUCUCACAGUCAGGCACCAGAAUGCACUGCAGCGAGGGACAAGACGCCACUUAUUUUUACCCACAACCCUACAGCAAACCCAGCCUGGUCCCAGAUCUGUCGAUGCUGUCUAGCCAACUCCUUGGCGUCUGACAUGACAAUGACCAUAGAAGUUGGCAAGACAGCACAAUCAGGACUGAAACCAGGCUACAGUAAACGCCACUGUCGUCACUGUGGCGUUUUAACACAUCGGAGAUGGCACCAUUUCAAUAUUACUUUGGAGCUUUUUACCCUUUGGACUCCAGAGAGAGGUCUGACAUGAUUUAGAUGUGUGCUGGCAGUCCAAACAUGGAGUUUUCUAACCCUGACAUGAACCAUAGGCACCUUAUUCCCUACACAGUGCACUACUUUUCAUCAUAGGGCCCUGGUCAAAAGUAGUGCACUAUUUAGGCAAAAGAGUGCCAUUUGGGACACAACCACUGACAUCCUUAUGGAGGAGAUACUGUAGUUAGAAUUGCACUUAAAACAACUUGUUUUUUUUUACCCCACAGGAACUUCCAUCUGUGGAUAUGAAAGAGGCUGUAUAUUUGGGAGGGCUUUGAGUGCGUGUUAUUCAUAUUCCAUUUGAACCUCAGGGAGGAUUCCGCUGUGAGCGUUGAGGUGUUAAAUGAAGGAUAAAUCCAUGCAGAACAUUAAGGAUUCAUACUUGUGGUGGGAUAGAGAGGUUAGACCGUAGAGCAGAGGUUGUUUAGUUUUAAAAUGUUGUAAUGAUGACUUGGAAAACCCUUAGUAGUGUCUACAAAUGUUUAUCGUCUUUCAAGAUGAAGACGCUACUUGUCUGUGUGUGUCUGUGAGUGUUGUGGUAAAGCAGUACAACUGCUUCUCAAGCAUUACUAAACGCUCAUAUUUCUAACAUUUCAUUUGGGUUUCAUGAUUGAAUGAGUGCCUCAUCUGAAAACUCUAAGUCCGCUGCUGCUGCCUCUGAGCAGAGUGGACCACACAACAAGCCACUACUCUACUGGCUCAGUUAAACCUAUAGGUCAUAUUGAUCACGGCUUUUACAAUGUUGCUGAUAAUUGUUUGAGCCUAUGUGUCUGAAAAGAAUGCUGUCAACUUUGAAGGUGCAUUCAGAUUACGUUGAUGGAGACCAUCAGAUGUGGAAGUUUGUAUUUUGAAUCUUUGUUUAAUCGUAUACAGCGUUGCAUUUCUAAGUUGUCGACUCAUUCUAAAGUAUCCCUCCCUGAUGACUCGCAAAAUGGCAAUUAAAUCUGCAUAUCAAAUGAGCUUUUUCCUUUAAUUAAUCAUGUGGAAGGACUUCACGCUUGAGUCCCAAGUGGCACCCUAUGCCCUAUAUAAUGCACUGCUUUUAAGCAGAGCCCUAUGGGCCCUGGUCAAAAGCAGUGCACUACAUAGGGGAUAGG
rnacentral:lncRNA from 1 species